AGAGUUUGAUCCUGGCUCAGAUUGAACGCUGGCGGCAUGCCUUACACAUGCAAGUCGAACGGCAGCGCGGGGCAACCUGGCGGCGAGUGGCGAACGGGUGAGUAAUAUAUCGGAACGUACCCUGGAGUGGGGGAUAACGUAGCGAAAGUUACGCUAAUACCGCAUACGAUCUAAGGAUGAAAGUGGGGGAUCGCAAGACCUCAUGCUCCUGGAGCGGCCGAUAUCUGAUUAGCUAGUUGGCGGGGUAAAAGCCCACCAAGGCAACGAUCAGUAGCUGGUCUGAGAGGACGACCAGCCACACUGGAACUGAGACACGGUCCAGACUCCUACGGGAGGCAGCAGUGGGGAAUUUUGGACAAUGGGCGCAAGCCUGAUCCAGCAAUGCCGCGUGAGUGAAGAAGGCCUUC
rnacentral:rRNA from 1 species